rnacentral:rRNA from 1 species
AUUGAACGCUGGCGGCAUGCUUUACACAUGCAAGUCGAACGGCAGCGCGGGCUUCGGCCUGGCGGCGAGUGGCGAACGGGUGAGUAAUACAUCGGAACGUGCCCAGUAGUGGGGGAUAGCUCGGCGAAAGCCGGAUUAAUACCGCAUACGACCUGAGGGUGAAAGCGGGGGAUCUUCGGACCUCGCGCUAUUGGAGCGGCCGAUGGCAGAUUAGCUAGUUGGUGGGGUAAAGGCCUACCAAGGCGACGAUCUGUAGCUGGUCUGAGAGGACGACCAGCCACACUGGGACUGAGACACGGCCCAGACUCCUACGGGAGGCAGCAGUGGGGAAUUUUGGACAAUGGGCGAAAGCAUGAUCCAGCAAUGCCGCGUGUGUGAUGAAGGCCUUCGGGUUGUAAAGCACUUUUGGCGGGAACGAAAAGGACUGUGCCAAUACCACGGUUCGAUGACGGUACCCGCAGAAUAAGCACCGGCUAACUACGUG